rnacentral:rRNA from 1 species
UGUGAGUCGUUGUAGCAAUACAAGGCAUACGGCUCAGUAACACGUAGUCAAUCUAACCUAUGGACGGGGAUAACCUCGGGAAACUGAGGAUAAUACCUGAUAGAUCAUAAUGCCUGGAACGGUUUAUGGUCCAAAUGAUUCGUCGCCGUAGGGUGGGACUGCGGCCUAUCAGCUUGUUGGUGAGGUAAUGGCCCACCAAGGCUAUUACAGGUACGGGCUCUGAGAGGAGUAGCCCGGAGAUGGGUACUGAGACACGGACCCAGGCCCUAUGGGGCGCAGCAGGCGAGAAACCUUUGCAAUGUGCGCAAGCACGACAAGGUUAAUCCGAGUGUUUCCUGCUAAAGGAAUCUUUUGUUAGUUCUAAAACCACUGAUGAAUAAGGGGUGGGCAAGUUCUGGUGUCAGCCGCCGCGGUAAAACCAGCACCUCAAGUGGUCAGGAUGAUUAUUGGGCCUAAAGCAUCCGUAGCCUGUUCUGAAAGUUUCCGGUUAAAUCCAUUAACUCAACUAAUGGGCUGCCGAAAAUACUGCAGAACUAGGGAGUGGGAGAGGUAGACGGUACUCGGUAGGAAGGGGUAAAAUCCUUUGAUCUAUUGAUGACCACCUGUGGCGAAGGCGAUCUACCAGAACACGUUCGACGGUGAGGGAUGAAAGCUGGGGGAGCAAACCGGAUUAGAUACCCGGGUAGUCCCAGCUGUAAACGAUGCAAACUCGGUGAUGCCCUGGCUUGUGGCCAGUGCAGUGCCGC